rnacentral:rRNA from 1 species
GAUGAACGCUGGCGGCGUGCCUAAUACAUGCAAGUCGAGCGAACGGACGAGAAGCUUGCUUCUCUGAUGUUAGCGGCGGACGGGUGAGUAACACGUGGAUAACCUACCUAUAAGACUGGGAUAACUUCGGGAAACCGGAGCUAAUACCGGAUAAUAUUUUGAACCGCAUGGUUCAAAAGUGAAAGACGGUCUUGCUGUCACUUCUAGAUGGAUCCGCGCUGCAUUGGCUAGUUGGUAAGGUAACGGCUUACCAAGGCAACGAUGCGUAGCCGACCUGAGGGGGUGAUCGGCCACACUGGAACUUGGCCACGGUCCAGACUCCUACGGGAGGCAGCAGUAGGGAAUCUUACGCAAUGGGCGAGAGCCUGACGGGGCAACGCCGCGUGAGUGAUGAAGGUCUUCGGAUCGUAAAACCCUGUUAUUAGGGAAGAACAUAUGUGUAAGUAACUGUGCACAUCGUGACGGUACCGAAUCAGAAAGCCACGGCUAACUACGUG